GACGAACGCUGGCGGCGUGCCUAAUACAUGCAAGUAGAACGCUGAAGGAGGAGCUUGCUUCUCUGGAUGAGUUGCGAACGGGUGAGUAACGCGUAGGUAACCUGCCUGGUAGCGGGGGAUAACUAUUGGAAACGAUAGCUAAUACCGCAUAAGAGUAGAUGUUGCAUGACAUUUGCUUAAAAGGUGCAAUUGCAUCACUACCAGAUGGACCUGCGUUGUAUUAGCUAGUUGGUGGGGUAACGGCUCACCAAGGCGACGAUACAUAGCCGACCUGAGAGGGUGAUCGGCCACACUGGGACUGAGACACGGCCCAGACUCCUACGGGAGGCAGCAGUAGGGAAUCUUCGGCAAUGGACGGAAGUCUGACCGAGCAACGCCGCGUGAGUGAAGAAGGUUUUCGGAUCGUAAAGCUCUGUUGUAAGAGGAGAACGAGUGUGAGAGUGGAAAGUUCACACUGUGACGGUAUCUUACCAGAAAGGGACGGCUAACUACGUGCCAGCAGCCGCGGUAAUACGUAGGUCCCGAGCGUUGUCCGGAUUUAUUGGGCGUAAAGCGAGCGCAGGCGGUUAGAUAAGUCUGAAGUUAAAGGCUGUGGCUUAACCAUAGUACGCUUUGGAAACUGUUUAACUUGAGUGCAAGAGGGGAGAGUGGAAUUCCAUGUGUAGCGGUGAAAUGCGUAGAUAUAUGGAGGAACACCGGUGGCGAAAGCGGCUCUCUGGCUUGUAACUGACGCUGAGGCUCGAAAGCGUGGGGAGCAAACAGG
rnacentral:rRNA from 1 species